GACGAACGCUGGCGGCGUGCUUAACACAUGCAAGUCGAGCGGUAAGGCCCUUUCGGGGGUACACGAGCGGCGAACGGGUGAGUAACACGUGGGUGACCUGCCCUUAGCUCUGGGAUAAGCCUGGGAAACUGGGUCUAAUACCGGAUAUGACUCCAUGACGCAUGUUGUGGGGUGGAAAGCCUUGUGCGGCUAGGGAUGGGCCCGCGGCCUAUCAGCUUGUUGGUGGGGUGAUGGCCUACCAAGGCGACGACGGGUGGCCGGCCUGAGAGGGCGACCGGCCACACUGGGACUGAGACACGGCCCAGACUCCUACGGGAGGCAGCAGGUGGGGAAUCUUGCGCAAUGGGCGAAAGCCUGACGCAGCGACGCCGCGUGGGGAUGACGGCCU
rnacentral:rRNA from 1 species